rnacentral:misc_RNA from 1 species
UACCAUCCACAGUUUCAAUGACCUGGAGGCAGUUUUAGGUUAGCAAGCAAAAAUGUUUUUGGUACUCGAAGUGUAUUGUAGGUAAUAUCUCAUAAGCAUGCAUGCAUUGUGUAUUUCAAGUAAUGUUGUUUCAGUUGAAUAGCCUCUUUUUUAGAUCCUAAUUCUCUUAGAGGAGAAACAUUUAGGAUACAUUUGGUAGGAUAUAAUGUAAUAUACUCAAUCAUGUAAUGAAAUGAAUGAUGUAAUAUUAGAUUAAAACGAAUGUAAUGUCAUUAUAAUUUUUGUUUCAACAUUUAGUUUAUUUGUGCCGGUAAUAAGGAGUGAGUGGCAGCAGUGACUUUGACUAAUGGUUUUGGUGGCAUUGGCUGCGGGGUGGUAGUAGUGGUUGGGGGGUUGGGGGGGGGG